rnacentral:rRNA from 1 species
CGCCAGACUCCUACGGGAGGCAGCAGUCGGGAAUAUUGCGCAAUGGAGGAAACUCUGACGCAGUGACGCCGCGUAUAGGAAGAAGGUUUUCGGAUUGUAAACUAUUGUCGUUAGGGAAGAUAAAAGACAGUACCUAAGGAGGAAGCAUCGGCUAACUCCGUGCCAGCAGCCGCGGUAAUACGGAGGAUGCGAGCGUUAUCCGGAUUUAUUGGGUUUAAAGGGUGCGUAGGCGGGCUUUUAAGUCAGCGGUAAAAAUUCGGGGCUCAACCCCGUCCGGCCGUUGAAACUGGGUGCCUUGAGUGGGCGAGAAGUACGCGGAAUGCGUGGUGUAGCGGUGAAAUGCAUAGAUAUCACGCAGAACUCCGAUUGCGAAGGCAGCGUACCGGCGCCCAACUGACGCUGAAGCACGAAGGCGUGGGGAUCGAACAGGAUUAGAUACCCCAGUAGAU